rnacentral:rRNA from 1 species
GAGUAGUACGUUCGCAAGAAUGAAACUCAAAGGAAUUGGACGGGGGGCCCGCACAAGCGGUGGAGCAUGUGGUUUAAUUCGAAGCAACGCGAAGAACCUUACCAGGUCUUGACAUACUCAUAAAGGCUCCAGAGAUGGAGAGAUAGCUAUAUGAGAUACAGGUGGUGCAUGGUUGUCGUCAGCUCGUGUCGUGAGAUGUUGGGUUAAGUCCCGCAACGAGCGCAACCCUUAUCGUUAGUUACCAUCAUUAAGUUGGGGACUCUAGCGAGACUGCCAGUGACAAGCUGGAGGAAGGCGGGGAUGACGUCAAAUCAUCAUGCCCCUUAUGACCUGGGCUACACACGUGCUACAAUGGAUGGUGCAGAGGGAAGCGAAGCCGCGAGGUGAAGCAAAACCCAUAAAACCAUUCUCAGUUCGGAUUGUAGUCUGCAACUCGACUACAUGAAGUUGGAAUCGCUAGUAAUCGCGAAUCAGCAUGUCGCGGUGAAUACGUUCUCGGGCCUUGUACACACCGCCCGUCACACCACGAGAGUUGAUAACACCCGAAGCCGGUGGCCUAACCGCAAGGAAGGAGCUGUCUAAGGUGGGAUUGAUGAUUGGGGUGAAGU